rnacentral:rRNA from 1 species
UACAGAGGUCUCAACCGUUGUUCGGAUUCAUUGGGCGUAAAGGGUGCGUAGGCGGUCGCGUAAGUCAGGUGUGAAAUCUCAGGGCUCAACCCUGAAACUGCACUUGAUACUGCGUGGCUCGGGUACUGGAGAGGAGACUGGAAUUACGGUGUAGCAGUGAAAUGCGUAGAUAUCGUAAGGAAGACCAGUGGCGAAGGCGAGUCUCUGGACAGUUACCGACGCUGAGGCACGAAGGUCAGGGAGCAAACGGG